GGCAAGUUGGCUCAGUGGUAGAGUGCUUGCCUUGCAUGCAUGAGGCCCUGGGUUCAAUUCCUCAGAACCA
rnacentral:tRNA from 1 species